rnacentral:rRNA from 1 species
UACGGAGGGUCCAAGCGUUAUCCGGAUUUAUUGGGUUUAAAGGGUCCGUAGGCGGGAAAAUAAGUCAGUGGUGAAAGCCUACAGCUUAACUGUAGAACUGCCAUUGAAACUGUUUUUCUUGAAUAUAGAUGAAGUGGGCGGAAUGUGUCAUGUAGCGGUGAAAUGCAUAGAUAUGACACAGAACACCGAUUGCGAAGGCAGCUAACUAAACUAUUAUUGACGCUGAGGGACGUAAGUGUGGGGAGCGAACAGG